UACAAGUCAGUGUUAGAGCACAUAGGUUUUUGAACCCUAUAGAUGAGGCCUACCUCAACCUGUAA
rnacentral:tRNA from 1 species